CAGUGAUCCCAUAAGGAAUCUACCCACCAAGGUUUUCACUUGUGAUAUGAAGUCAUCUGUUCCUCUCAGCCUCCAGUCUCUGUGUGCUUGGAGCAGCUCUGAAGAGAGAAGGAACUGGAGUGCACCCUCAACACCUCUUCCUAGCACAAGGCACUACACGCCUGCUGUCGUCCCCAGGACCUGCCCUCACCCAGCUGUGCCUUUUGGGCAGGCAGACAGGGCUGGGGAGGAGAGAGGAAGGAUCUGCCGGGGGAGAUGGUGCAAGGAACCUACAGCAGAUAGCAGUAGAAAGAAGAACGGCAAACUCCUAAGCAGUCCUUCUGGGGAGAUGAAACCUUUGAAGUCAUCAACAACACAGGCAGCAGGUACCCUUGUGCUGAACGAACAACUUAUUUUCCCCUGCUAAUGGACACAGCAGGUUGAGAAAACACAGAACCAUUUCCCAUGAAUUUUCAAGUUGGUACAUAACUUUCUGUGGACAUCUGAGAAACUUACAAAUUAAAAUCUCUGCAGAAAAACAAAACAAAACCCUCACUUGGUAGCAUCUUGAAAAUCCAAUCUCCCAUUUAGAGAAGACCCUCUUUGUGUUUAAUCUCUGGGGAGCAAAAGGAGCUGAAGUGCUGCAAAACAGGCAGCGGUGGUGGGCAUCCUCCAGGACAGGGAUUGGGUUGGGCCAGGAGCCUGUUGGGUCCUGUGUCCCCUUGCUGCAGGAGCUG
rnacentral:lncRNA from 1 species